rnacentral:tRNA from 1 species
AAGUGACUAUAUAAUAGUUUCGACCUAUUACUAGAAGAUAGCUCUUCCACUUA